ACUAAUGUCAGCUCUUUCUGUUAGACUCUCAGCUCCACUAGAGAAGAAAUUCUGUGCAUGUUUGCUCACUAUUGAACCCUGGAGUCUACUACUCAAAUAUUUGUCAAAUGAGUAAACGGUAGCUCUGUGCAGGGCCAAGGAACACAAGAAACAUGCAAUCUGCCAAAAUACUUAUUACAGCUCACUCUCCUCUGGUGACAUUUCCCUGAGGCACAUUCCUGUUGGUUUCUUCCCCUCAAGAAGCAUUCUUCUUUCUCCUUCCUAUAAAAGCCAGGAUUUUCUCAGAUAGCCACACCAUGCCCCAUGCAAAGAGAUCUGGAUUAUUCUACCAUCUUGAGGCAUUUCUGUGGAAACUGCUAUCAGUCCAAGUGGCCCAUGACCUAAGCUGACCCAAGCCAACUGAAGGGAGGACGUAUUCUAUGCAUGCUGUGCAGUUCCACAGGGUGCUGGUUGUCCCAGCUGCUGCUGGUGGUCUUCAUGUAGCCAAGGUACCACUAGUGCAUAUGGAGAAAACAGAACAACUGGAGAGAAACUGAGUAGCCUCAUUGCUGGUGAAACAUCAAACAUUGAGCACAUUCUGCCAAGAAAACACCCGGAAGAAAAUGUGGGGACUGGCAGUAUCAAACCAGAGGAGUCACACACAGAUUUCUGUUUGGUUGGAGAUCUGCCGUUUUUCCCUGUGGGUUGGGGAAGCGGAGCAGCUCUACAACGGGAAGGAAGGUGGGUUCUGUGCGGCCAGGAAGGUCCUGGCCCGGGGCAGAGGGGCGAGAGGGGAUGUGCGGCGAAAGGCUGUGCAGGGCAGCGGGCAGUGUGCAUCGCCCCUACUGCCGGGCGCCCAGGAGGAGGACAGGUCCCGGCCUGGCGGGAGCAGAGGCGGCAGGGCUGGAGUCCCCACACCGGGCUUGAGGGCCGGCGGAGCCGCAGGCUGUGGCCGAGGGGGACUCCCGGGCACCUGGUGGGCGUCCCCAUGACCAGGAUACACACCGGGCUCCGGAGGCCAGGCGGACCAAGCUAGGGGUGCCAGGGGAGGCUCGAGGUUCCCGCGGUGGGAGGUGGGUCCCUGGACCCUGGUCUCCUGCUGCUGUCCCACACAUGGGCUGCCUUCGCUCAGGGGCACCCCGCCAGCGUCGCCUAUCUGGGACCUCAGCGCAGCUCCUAGCAGGCGGGAGGCUGAGGCAGAGACCUCAGGGCCCAGCUGGGUCUGCAGUUUCCACCACUCGUGACGCAGGGCGAGCUCAAGCUGUGCCGCCCAGGCAGGAAACCCUCCGACCUUGCCAGCUUUGGCGCCAGCCUUGGUGACUCUCUCCAGCUCAGCUUCAACACCUUUCAACAGUUCUGUGUUCGCUAUUAUCACAAGAAUUCUUUCUGUAUUUCCUAUCCUUUAUCAAAUAGGAAUUUAAAUAUGCAUAUGGAGUGAUAUCACAGUUGAAACAUUAAACAAUAUACAAUUUCAUGUGUCUUUUUUUGUUUAAUAUAUAAUUUUCUAAAAAGUAAAAUUAUGACUCUACUGCAAAUAUAAGAUAAACACAUAUCAACAAUGUUUUUCAACUCAAUAAGCGAUGAGGGUUCCAGUAAAUAGGUUCAAAUCCUUGCAAGGAACAUUAAAGGAGCUUUACAGCCAGUGUUAAAGUCAGAUCGUUGGGUACUUACAGUACUGGUUAGUAUCCAACAUAGCCAGAAGCUGUCAUCUUUGUGAGUUCUCUCUUCCAUGGCACAGAAAUAAUGUGUUUUUCUACUGUACAAAAUAUUUAUCUUUUCUACUACUUCUGCACAUAAAAAUAUUGCUAGUCAGAAAAGCCCAGGAUUGCACUGAAAAAAAAUCUCAGUAAUAUCUCUCACCUGUAUUCAUACUUCUUUUCUUCCUUUAUGAAAUAUCUUUCAACUGCAUUUUCUAUCUGAAGGUUUAUAGAGAGAGGAAAAUGAAUAAAAGCAUAGUAAGUGAAUAUUUGGUAACAUUUUGCAGCUUUAUUCAUGUCUAACGAACAUAAAACACACUUCCAAUAUUUAAAGUGUAAAUGAGAUGAAUUUGAUAUGUACAUGUGCCCAUUAAACAAUCACCAUGAAGGGGACAAUGAGCAUAUCCAAUACUCUCAAAGCUUCCUAGUUCUCUUUUGUAAUGCACACUCAUACCUCUCAGGUGUGAAGUAUUGAGCUUCACACAUACACACAAAUAUAUACUGGGAUAUCUAAUUGUUUCAGAAGCAUUUGUUGAAAAUGUUAUGUCCAUGAAUGGUCUAAGAACUUUAUCAAAAAUUAGCUGAUAGCUGAUAUACAUGUGUAUAUCUAUAUUUGUACUACAUUGUCUUAAGUAUUACUGUAACGUUCUAAGUCUUGAAUCCAGGUGCUGUUUAUUCUCCAGCAGCACCUGGUUUCAAAGUAACUGUUUCCUUUCAAAGUAAUUUGCCAUUAUAGGUCCUCUACCCAUUGAUGUACAUUUCAGAAUUUUAGUUUCUCAAUUUCUAAAAUAAGAAAUCCAGCUGUGAUUUGAUUGGAAUUGUUAUAGAUCAAUGUGGGAAGAGUAGACAUCUUAACAAUAUAGAGAUUUAUGACUCAUAAAUUCCAUUUAUUUAGGUCUCAUUUAUUUUAGCAAUAUUUUGUAGUUUUGUAGUUUUCAAAUGUUUCUCUUUUUUGCUGGUUUAUCUCUAAGUACAUAUUUUGAUAUUUACAAUAAUAUCAAAAUUAUGGUAAUAUUAAUGCAAAUGUUGUUUUAUUUUUUUCCUCCAUUAAUUGUCAGGUAGUUUUAAAUCAUAAUUUAAUUGUAUGAUAAAACUGAAUUUUGCGAGAAAUGUAUACAUAUUGUAUAUAUACUGUUUGUCAGUUUGGCAGAUUGACUGCAUUAUCAUAUCAUAAUUUAAAAUUGCACUAAUUACCACUCAGCCUCCUCUCAAGGACAAUAUAUCAAAAUAUAUAGCAUGUUUCAGUUUAUUUAGCAUCAUGAAACUCUCAUAUUGCACUUACUUUUGGAAACCUGGAAUAAUAAAAUAAUGUAAAUAUCAGUUCACAGGCGACAUAUAAGUACAUGAGACAAUUUUCUAAAUAUCUACCUAUCGCUCUUUAAUUCUAUGUUAAUAUUGUCAAUUUUUUCCUCCUCUUGAAACUCUCUUAUGCAGCUUAUUGACUUUUGGUUCAAUUCCUUCCCUGUUUUUCCCCCUAAUCUACUUUCUAAUAUUUUACUGAUGUUGUGCUCCUUUUUAUCUGGACACUUUUAAAAAGCUGUGUAAUUUCUCCUUUGUAUUAAAAUGCAAAUCCAUAUCCAAAAUAAAUGAGCAGAGGGACCA
rnacentral:lncRNA from 10 species